rnacentral:rRNA from 1 species
CAGUAGCCGCGGGAAUACGAAGGUCCCGAGCGUUGUUCGGAAUCACUGGGCGUAAAGGGAGCGUAGGCGGCGUGGUAAGUCAGAUGUGAAAUCCCGGGGCUCAACCCCGGAACUGCAUCCGAUACUGCCGUGCUAGAGGAUUGGAGAGGUAGCUGGAAUUCUUGGUGUAGCAGUGAAAUGCGUGGAGAUCAAGAGGAACACUCGUGGCGAAAGCGAGCUACUGGACGAUAUCUGACGCUGAGGCUCGAAGGCCAGGGUAGCGAAAGGGAUUAGAGACCCGAGUAGUCCCUGUCUCUUAUAC